rnacentral:rRNA from 1 species
CCUACGGGAGGCAGCAGUGGGGAAUAUUGGACAAUGGGCGAAAGCCUGAUCCAGCAAUUCCGCGUGUGUGAAGAAGGCCUUCGGGUUGUAAAGCACUUUAGUUGGGGAAGAAACAGCUUGGCCACACCAAGCCUUGACGGUACCCAAAGAAUAAGCACCGGCUAACUCUGUGCCAGCAGCCGCGGUAAUACAGAGGGUGCAAGCGUUAAUCGGAUUUACUGGGCGUAAAGGGUGCGUAGGUGGUUUUGUAAGUCGGAUGUGAAAGCCUGGGGCUCAACCUCAGAAUUGCACUCGAUACUGCAAGACUAGAGUUCGGUAGAGGCGGCGGAAUUCCCGGUGUAGCGGUGAAAUGCGUAGAUAUCGGGAGGAACAUCAAUGGCGAAGGCAGCCGCCUGGGCCUGAACUGACACUGAGGCACGAAAGCGUGGGUAGCAAACAGGAUUAGAUACCCUGGUAGUCCACGCUGUAAACGAUGAGAACUUGACGUUGGUUCGUUUUACGAAUCGGUGUCGCNGCUACGACGAUAGUUACUCCGUCCGUCGGGAGGUACGGCCGCGAGGUAGUAACGUACAAGAAGUAGUAGACGCGAGAGAGCGACGACGACGACGACGGAGGAGGAGG